UAUAACUAUUUUGCAUAUGCUGCGGUACUGACUAAAUAUUUUAGUUGUUACAGUAAUAUGGUAUUAUUGACCAUCCCUGGCACAAGUGGCAAAAGAUUUGGUGGUUGAUACCCGAUGUUACAAAUUCGAAUCCUAAUUGAUUCACAUUUCCAGUUAGUUUAUUUCUAAAAGAGUAAUAUGGUAUUAUUGUUCGCGUCUGCUUGGCGCAUUGGAUUAUGAUCCACACAUGUACUAGCACAAUCCAAAAUAC
rnacentral:lncRNA from 1 species